UAGCUCAGUUGGUAGAGCAUGGUGCUUGCAAUGCCAUGGUAGUGGGUUUGAUUCCCAU
rnacentral:tRNA from 1 species